rnacentral:misc_RNA from 1 species
AAAUGCGAUAAGUAAUGUGAAUUGCAGAAUUCAGUGAAUCAUCGAAUCUUUGAACGUACCUUGCGCUCCUUGGUAUUCCUUGGAGCAUGCCUGUUUGAGUAUCAUGAAAUCUUCAAAGUAAAUCUUUUGUUAACUCAAUUGGUUUCUACUUUGGUAUUGGAGGUCUUUGCAGCUUCACACCUGCUCCUCUUUGUUCAUUAGCUGGAUCUCAGUGUUAUGCUUGGUUCCACUCGGCGUGAUAAGUUAUCUAUCGCUGAGGACACUGUAAAAGGUGGCCAAGGUAAAUGCAGAUGAACCGCUUCUAAUAGUCCAUUGACUUGGACAAUACUUUUAUGAUCUGAUCUCAAAUCAGGUAGGACUACCCGCUGAACUUAAGC